rnacentral:rRNA from 1 species
UCUUGGGAAUGGGCGAAAGCCUGACCCAGCAACGCCGCGUGGGCGAUGAAGGCCUUAGGGUCGUAAAGCCCUUUUGCGGGGGACGAUGAUGACGGUACCCCGCGAAUAAGCCACGGCUAACUACGUGCCAGCAGCCGCGGUAAUACGUAGGUGGCAAGCGUUGUCCGGAUUUACUGGGCGUAAAGGGCGCGCAGGCGGUUUGUUUAGUCCAGGGUGAAAGCUCCCGGCUCAACUGGGAGAGGUCCUUGGAUACUGGCAGACUCGAGGGAGGCAGAGGAAAGUGGAAUUCCCGGUGUAGUGGUGAUAUGCGUAGAUAUCGGGAGGAACACCAGUGGCGAAGGCGGCUUUCUGGGCCUUACCUGACGCUGAGGCGCGAAAGCGUGGGGAGCGAACCGGAUUAGAUACCCGGGUAGUCCACGCCGUAAACGAUGGACACUAGGUGUGGGGGGUAUCGACCCCCUCCGUGCCGCAGCUAACGCAAUAAGUGUCCCGCCUGGGGAGUACGGCCGCAAGGCUA